rnacentral:rRNA from 1 species
UACGUAGGGGCCGAGCGUUGUCCGGAUUCAUUGGGCGUAAAGAGCGUGUAGGCGGCCGCUUAAGUCCUGCGUGAAAUCUCGGAGCUCAACUCCGAGCGGUCGUGGGAAACUGGGCGGCUAGAGUGCGGGAGAGGAGAGUGGAAUUCCUGGUGUAGCGGUGAAAUGCGCAGAUAUCAGGGAGGGAACACCGGGUGGCGAAGG